GGACAAAUAAGCUCAAGAGGAGGAUCUAGAAGCUUUCAGUUUUAACUAUUCACCAAUAGUAGAAAAGGCACAAUGCCUAAGCUAUGGCUUUGUGGCCAAUGGGGUAGCUGUGUAUGUCUCACAUGACUCGCUGCCCCUGUCUUUCACAUGGGCUGUAAUUUAGUUCAAUUCAGAACUGCAGAUAGUACGGCUUCCACAGGAGCAAGGGAUGCCUGAGCACAAGUGGCUGAGUUCCUAGUGACUUUCCGAAGGACUUCUCCACCUUCUUGCAGCAAGAAAACAGGGAUUCUGCACCUGCACCAGGGACAGGCUGCUAAAAGCCUCUGCUCUGCCUCCGGGGACAAGGAACUAGAGCAAAUAACCAUGUUGAAAUUGGAUCUUGACAAAAUGACCAACAAAUUCAUGAAGAAAAUUGAAGGCAAUUUGAGUCACAGCUCCACAGAAACUAAAGAAACAUGGAUGUCUCCAAAGAAGAGCAGAGAACUCAGUUGUACCCUAAAAUUAGGAUGUGAUUAAGGUACGUCAUUUCUUUGAGUUCAGUUGAAAUGCUUUGUUCUUUCUGUGUCAGAGAAUUUCUUGUCUUUUUUUCCUUAGCCUCUCUCUCUUUCUCCUCUCUCUUCUUUUUCUUCCCCUCAUUAGCAGAUGUCUUUUAUAAUUGAUGCUGUUCACUGUCCUUUCAUCAAAUCUAUGCCACAUCACUUAGGCGAACCACCAGACAGAGCACCUAAAUACACAUUAGAGGAGAAUGGCAUCCCUGAGACGCGUCUACUGUCUCAUCAGGGCAGUUAUAAUAAGCAUCUUGGUGCCACUGAAUGCAAUGUUGUAUUCAAAUAAUAACUUUUCAUCUUCACUCUUCUUAAAUAUAAAAGUAAAUCUUGAAUCCUUUUGAAGGACCUAACCAAACAACAUAGAUAUGAAAAUAGAUCACUAAGGCUUUGAGAAACAUCCUUAUGUAACAUCUGUAAAGCAUCUUAGCAUUUUUUUCAAGAAAGGCCUCCAGGUAAAUGAUGGUUUUUAAUAAGACACAUGACAAUCUCAAUUAUGAGAAUCAUUAUUGUGUGCCCUGUGUGCCAUUUUAUGUUCCCAGUGCUCCAGCAAGAUCUUUUUUUUUUCCUUUCUCAUCAAGAGUUUCCAGGACUGUCUACUGUUACAGCUCUCUGUGUAAUAUACAUUGAGUGUUUCCCUGAAGCUGCACUAAUAAAAAAAAAAAGGAAAGAAAGAAAGAAAGAAAGAAGAACAAAACAAACGACAACAAAAACUUUCCCAAGUGGUCAGACAGACUGGAACUAGUGGAUUAUAGUCCUAUAUUUUUAACCAGAACAAAGAGAUUUCCCCAGGAAAAAUGAAGGCUAUAGCUGGGCAACAGUAAACACCAGGCAGAGACAUACAGAAGCAUCUCCUUCAGCCCGAACUCUUGAAACGAAAAGCAAAAGAAACCACUGUUUCAACUGAAUACAAACCAUCCUCAAGUACUGACAUAUUGAGAUUGAUGAAGAAUUCAACUAAGGUUCUAGAUUUCAUUUUGGUGGUUUGCUUGUUGAUGAAUAUUUUUUACAAACUUCCAAUGAAUUUGAAUUUUUUUCUUUGCACAUGAUUUGUAUCAGAAAUACAAUUUAUUAAGCUUUUAUUCUGUUUUUUCACACUUUAAAUCACACUCAAAGACCUCUCAGUUAGAAAGUUGACUUUUAGAAUUUUGUUUUGCCAAGAUACAGUAAAACACAAAAAGGAAAGAAAAGGAAAAACAGAUAAUUUAUGAAUUAGACAGUGUGUCUUUAAGCUAUCCAAACUUAACUUAGUAAAGUUUACUACCAAGAUAUUCCUGCUUGAUAACAUAAAUUUUGACAGACCGGAAACAUUAUUAUAGAGCACUAAACAUAUUGCUUUCAAUCAUCUCCAAAUCUGAAAAGAAAAAUAGAAAUUCUUACAUAUAAUGAGGAUGAAUAAAUAAACAAAUGAUAUUUUUAAUAGUAAGUUAAAUUUUGGCAAAAAAUCCUAACAGUAUUUAUAUUUUAAAAAGACUAUGAUUCAUUGUUUUUCAUACAAAAGAUAACCAAUAUGGAGAUGUCUAAAGUAUACUAGUUUCUGGAUUUAUAUUUUCAUCUAAACAUAAUAUAUUGUGAUAUAAAGUUAGUAGGAUUAUACACAAUGAGCCACCAGUACUACACAAAUCACAGUGCCUGAUUAUUUUUGUCUGGUUUUCCAAAUAAGACAUAGUGGAUCUACUAUGAAACUCUCUUGUAAUGGCCCUUCCGCUUAAAAAUUCAGUACCCUUUUAAAUUAAAAACUAAAACAAAAAAAAUGUUAAUAUGCCAGUAAAUUGGAAAUUUGAUUUGUAUUCAGUAUGAUUUUCAAAGAGUAUAGCAUAUAUCUCAUUGCAAACUCUUAGCUAUGGCAUUUCCUUCCAAGUCAAACAUGUGUUUAUGUUCUGCUUAGUUUUAUAAGCAAAAUAUCUCCAAAUUGUUUCAAAAAGACAAAUGUAUAAAACUGAAAAGAAAGCUACAAUCCUCCUAAUUUCCCGUGUGCAAAUGCCACAAAGUGUCUAUAUCGAAACACUUGAAUUGACUCAGUGUAAACCCCAAAGGGCAUAUUUCAGACACAUUGUUUUCUGCACUAUGCAAUGUAACCAAAAAUAACAAUAGAAGAAAACUAAGCUCUGCUUGAUAAAAUGUGUUUUAUUUUUUAUGUGCUGUUAACACAAUGCCUUAGAUAGAAAACUAAAUCUGUCUUAGUUUAAGAGAGAAACACAAAGACAUUUCCCUUCUGGACAGCAGGCUUUGGCACUGCAAGAUCAAAGGAACAAUUUUAUCUGCAUUGAGACUACAGACCAAAAGAUUUCAACGUUCCUGUCUCCAUGCUAGAGCUUAUGUGUCUUUAAUGGCAUUUAAAUUAUAGCCCUCUGUACCAAAUGCAGUCAAAACACCGCGUCAUCUGAUGGGACACCAUGUUAUAAUCUGUCAGUGUGGCUUACGUACAAGUAUUCCUAUACCGUACUUGCUCUUAGUUUUCUCUUUUUGUUAGAGGAAUUGAGCAAAUUAUAUUUUAAAUGAGGUUUAUGAGUUGGCUCAGUUAAGAUGGACAAAAUGUAUACAUGGUUUCUAUUGUUUUAAAUUAACCAAUUGAUAGUUUUUUCUGUCUUUUUUUCCUAUAGUCACACCUUUGGCAUUUUUGUUUGUUUUUAGGAAAUUCAUCUACCUAACGUGCCAUGUGGCAUAUGACAUAUUAUAGACACAUACUACAAGAAAUUAAGAAUAUGUGUCUAUCAUAGAAUUGUAGUUUAUACUAUUCUCAAACAAGGUAGCUCCAUUAAAUUGAUUUAUAGCACAAUGACUCCUUUACCUAAAGUAAAUACACUGCUUUCUGUUUUCCAGUAAAACAGGAAAUGCAGAUGGCAUGUUUAAAGUGUCACUGAAGACACAAUAUUUAAUUUUGAUAUGUACUUUUGUCAUAAUGUUUAUUAUACUUACUUAACAAUAAAAACUUUCUGAAAGCUAGCAUUUCCCUAAAUACUCCUGUAGAUGUAAAAAUAAGGUGUUACAUUUUCUAUACGAGCAAUGUGUUUUGAUACAAGAAAUAUAUAAACAGGAAUAUAUAAUCAUAUAUGUUUUCAAGAUAUUCAAAUGUUACAUAUAUAUAUAUAUAUAUAUAUAUAUAUAUAUACAGAGAGAGAGAUUGAGAGAGAGAGAGAGAGAGAGAGAGAGAGAGAGAGAAACAGGCAGACAGGCAGACAGAAGUAGUUAUCACAAAUGUUUAAAGGUCAUGUCACAGUUAUAUAUGUUCUCCUAUGUUUAUAGCAGCACAAUUUGUAAUAGCUAAAUCUUGGAAACAACCAAAAUGCUCAUCAACCACACAGUGGAUAAAAAGGGAAGUGGUAUUUUUAUACAAUGGAACAUUACUCAGCUAUAAAAAGAAUGAUCUUGAGACCUUUAUGGGUAAAUGGAGGAAACUGAAGACUAUCCUCAUAAGUGAAAUAAAUAAGAAUCAUAUUUGUAAAUAUCACAUUGUCUCUCUAGUAUAAAAAUUAAUAAAAGCUGUAGGAGUAAUAGGAUCUGAAAUGUGUAAUAGCUGUUGUAAAAAAGAAAGGGACGGAAAGUGCUCCAAAGAAUAUAACUGCAUGUAUGUUUAAGUAUGUAAGAUAGAUAACCAUAGUACUAAGUUUUUGUUGCAUUAUUCAACAGAAUGAUUUGCACUCUCAUUAUUUGAAUGUACACGUUUUAUGCUUUAAUUUUGUAACUUGAAUAACUAUUUCUAAGAUGACAAUAUGUAAUUUGUCAACUGAUGAUUUCUUAGCAUUAAUUUUUUUGAAAUUCUGUACUAUUUCUACACUUUUUUCUGUUUUGCUUUUUUUGUUUAAAAAACAAAAAAAGUUUAAAGUCCAAAAUUUAUGUAAUUUUCUUAGAAACAUAUAUUACAUUAGUAACUGGUAGUUAAGCUUAUCUUUGAGGCUUCAAAAUGUAACAUGGACUUCAUAAAUAUUCCAAUGAUAGCAUUGAAAGUUUUAAACACAUAAUGAAAUUUUGUAACAUCUGCAUUCUAAGGUUGAGCUUGCAUAUGCUUUUUGAGGAUGUGAUGGUAACACACCCAUCAGACAUUCUUUGCAAAUUAGUAUGACACUGUGUCAGAUCAGCUUUACCUGAGAAUGUAUAUACGCAAAAACAAUUUCUGUGUUGGAUAAAGCUCACCAUUACAAAUGAAUUGAUUUUUAAAUUUCUAAAUGUCUUGAUCAACUUUUAUUUGUUUUCCUAUUACUUUUCUGUAGAAAAUCACGUAUUCUAUGUGUUACCUGCAGGAUAAAAAUAAGGGGAAAUGUGAAGCACAAAUAGGUUUGAGGAGUAAAAAUUCUUUUCUCAACCUGGAAAAGUCAAAGAUCCUUCAACACUUUUCAAUUACCCCAAGAAUCAGAUAAGCAGCACAAAAGAUAUUUAUGGAGAACAGGUACUAUGUACUAUAUCAGUUUCUCAUUGAAUUAGGAUUUGGAUGACUCUACAUUUAACAGGUGUUUGACAAGAAAUCAUAACAAAUUUCAUAAUCACAAAAUUUGAUACAGGUAGAUAGAACCAUGUAAUGCAAUAUAUUAUUGAAAACUAUACCUUUUUAUUGAAACAAAGGAGAAAAAGAACAGUAAUUUUCAGGGGAUAAAUUAAUAGAUGCAUAAAUUCCCCAUCUAUGGAAAAGAUUUGAUUUUAAAACUUUCUUUUCUUCUAUCCCACCACCCUAAAAUAUAUCUUCAAAUUAUUUCUUGCAGUCUAUUAUUUGUGAAAUUGAAUUUAACAUGUUAAAUGUAAUUAACACAUAAAUCUACUACCCGAUUUAAGAACUACAGCAGCACCAGUUUUCAAUGUGGUGGUGGGGAUUAAAGACUGGGCCUUCAUACUAUGCUAAUCAUCAUCCAUUUUAAUUAUUUUUAAUAUGUCAAAUUUUUCAAGCAUGGUCUUGCUAAGUCACUAGAUUGCCCGGCCUAGGAAUGAAUUUUUGAUACAUCAGCCUACUGUACUGCUGGCAUUUACAUUGCACCGCCACACACAGGUACCCAAUUUGAGAAAGCAGCUGUAAUUUUCCUCCGUCCACCUCUCUCUCUCUCUCUCUCUCUCUCUCUCUCUCUCUCUCUCUCUCUCUCUGUCUCUCUCAGAAAUUACUAGUCUCACGGUCUGCACUUACUGAGUGUACGAAGUGUGACCUUUACAAAUUUAAGGAGCUAUCUAUCCUUACAUCUAGAACUGAUGGGAAUGGUGCUUCUUGAAGUGUGCAGCAUGUCACUUCUAUGAAUUUUCACCCCGGCUCUACCAUUAUUAUGAGCCUUGAGAUUACCUUCUCAUGGUAGUUUCAUUCAUUUUGAGCUGUACAAAAAUAUUAUUUUAAGUAUAUAUGAUGCUGCUCAGCGGCAUCUACAUUGUUGCAUAUGGUUAUAUCUUGAUUUACUUCAGUGAUAAAUGGCAUUGUUAUAUAAAAAUCCUCAGUUUAUUCAUUUUUCUUGACAUUUGAGUCAUGUACCUCUUUGCACUUAAUGUAAGUGUUCUUAAAUAUGUCGCUUAGGGCACAUAAGCAAAGAAUGUUCAAGUACGCACUCAGAAUGCCUGAAUUUUAAGGUUUAUGGAUGAGUUAAGAUAUUUAUGUGAAAACUGAAACUUAAAAACCCUAGGAAGUGCAUAAAUAGAAUACUAUGAUACAAAGUAAGACAAGAUUUUCCUUAAAACAUCUAAAAUGUUUGUAUUCGGUACGUAAGCAAGUUCUUUUCGAUAAAAAAACCAUCAAUUUUACUUAUAGGUAUUCAUUCUAAUCAUUUUUCAAAACAUCAGUCCAUAAUUUUAUCCAAAUCUAUUACCUAGAAGAGAAAUUAAAACCAGAAUCGUUUUGACUGUCUUAAAUAUUGAUUGUAUACAUGAUGUUAAACUUAAGAAAUGUGAAUUAAAAUUAAAAGAUGCAGCCUAAGCAAAAGUUACCAAAUUUACUCCCUUCCCAUACACCUUUAAGAUUAUUUUUGGAAAUACCAAAUCUCAUUAUCCAAGUUAGAAAUUAUGAUUACAAACCAAAGGAGAAGCAGAGAAAAAAAAUUACUAGAUUAAAAAGGUUUUAUUUUUGAGGCAAACUGUAUAUAACAUAAAAUUUAUAGAUAGAUAUCCAAUCAUUUUAAAGCAGUCUGACUCAACAUUUUCUUGCCCAUUUUAGGGUAAAGGAAAUUAGAUUUCAGAAAUUUAAAUAUGAUACAAUCCUUUGAUUAAUCAAAAUUCUCACUCACAUUUUUCUUGUGAUCCUGGCUGACAUUACCUAAACUAAAUGAAAACACCACAGAGUAGGUUAAAGGAUUGGCAAGUGCCCAUUUCAUUCUCUCUGUCUUUCUGUCUCUGUCUCUCUGUCUCUGUCUGUCUCUCUCUCUCUCUCUCUCUCUCUCUCUCUCUCUCUCUCUCUCUAUCUCUCUUAAUGAAUAGCAUCUCAGAAGUUAAAUGAAAUGUUUAGUAUUUCAUAGCUGAUAAGUAUCAUAGUCAGCACUCAAGUCUUCUGGUUAUUUAUAUUUUUCUCCAUAAUCUAUCAACCCAUGACCACCUUUGGUUUUUGUUGAAAUUAAUAUACCAUUUUUCCAAAACAUAAAGUCAUGCAUACUCACUGCAGAAUUUUAAAAAAUCAGGUUAAGUAUGUAACUUGCCCUGUACAAUACUCAAUUAUUAGAAGAAUGAACCUUACAUUUUAUAUUUGUUGCUUGAAAAUAGUUCUUAGUCAAAUGGACAUUAAUUUCAUUAUUUUUAAGAUGCGUUAUUCAUAAAAAUUUCCUCAGAUAUAGGGAGAGAUACAGGGAUUAUUUUUGUAUUAAAGCUAUUUUUAAUCUAGAUAAUCUUGACCUGUUACAGAAGGAAUUGCAUAGAGCAAACCGAGAUCCCUCACAUUUGCCACCUAACUCAUCUCUAUGAGUAACUCUAGAAAACAGCAUGCUGCGGUAUUUUUCCAAAGUGUUCGUUAUCUAUCUGUAAAAAAAAAAAAAAAAAUUCAGUCAUUAACACCAGAGUUGCUUUUAAUUAAAGUCUUUGAAUUUUUGUAAAUAGAAAUGUCCCUUGUGCAGGAACUUGCAAAGAGAAGUCCCCAACAGGUAAUUACUCAUUACGCACUGCAUUAAUCCAAUUCCCUGUCAAAGAACAGGACCAUCACUGAAACACGCUAAUAUGCAAAUGAGUGAGCACAAGUGUCAGGAAUGUACCCUUCUCUUUCAAUGGCCUGAAAAGUUCAAUCCCUAGCCACUUCAUCAAAAUAUCUUUUCCUUUUCAUUGUAAUCUCUUUUCAAAUUAAAAGAAGGAGACACACAGUAAAUUUUAAAUAAUUUAAGUAAUAAUGAAUAAUUUAUGUAAUAAAUAAUGCAUAAAAUAUGCAGGAAACUAUUUUUGUAAUAAAAAUCCAGGCCUAUAACCUUCUUAGAGGCCUAUUAAGAAAAUAGAUAUUACAACUUCUUUAUCGCAUCUGUAACUACUGGACUUCCCUUCUACGUAAAGAGACGUAGAGGCAGUACGAUAGAAAAAUAUAGUGAAUGUUUAAAUUUUUAAAAAUGCAUUGCAUUCAAAGACACAUUGCCAUUAAUCACCCUCAAAAUACUUACUCUCACUUUGAGCACACUUACGCCAUCAUUCUUACUGUUUUCUGAAAUAGCUCUGGAAGUCCUCUUCCUUAAGGGUCUUUCGUUUCACUGUCAUGGCUGCUAUGCUCUCUUCAGUUGAUUCAAAAUAUUUACUUUUCAUGGUUAUUUUACUUUGAGGAUGAGCCAGAAGUUUUACUGUGCUAGUUUCAGUGAAAGUGGUAGAUGAGGAUCUACUACAAUGUUUUUGCAAAACUGCUUUUCAAUUGGAUGGCUCAGCGGCAUUCACUGAGCUUGAAUCACACCUCCUAAGAACAGUCCAAACCUGCUUCAGAAAGUAACAAGGACGAUGGGACAAAUAUGGAGUCUUUUUCCAGAGAUUUAUAGCAUUAUCUUUUAGUGUGCUAAAUGUUUUAUUUAAACACUUGCUGUACAUUUUGAUCACUUCUUGUAUGUACUAACUCCAUCAGGAAGAGCCAUGUUAAAACAUGCUUUCUUUAAGGCUUGCAUAAUCCCUGGCUUCUGGGAUGGGAAUUAUUGACCCACUUACUUUUUGUUCAAUUGAUUUUAUUUUUUCCAAAUUUUGGGCUCAUUAGCAUAUAAAAGAACAGUUUAAUGAUUCCUAAAUUUAAUAAAAGACAAAAUAUUUCACUGGUAAAACAUGAUAUAUUUUCAGAUUUAGACAAAAUAGAGUUUACAGGAGGAAAGUUAAAAAUAUGCCUAUAUUUUUGAUGCAACUGUUAAUAUAGUGUUGAUAUAAAUAUUAAUAUAAACACGAAAACAUUCUUAAAUAUUAGUAUAACACAGAUAUUUUUCCAAAAGUAAAUGACUAUUUGUUUUUGCUUGCUUUCUAUUUCAAAUGAAAAAGUUGCUUUUUCUUAUAAUGGGUUAACUAAUUGCAUAUUUGUUUUCCAAGUUACAAUAAUGUCUGAGAUAUCAUGUUUGUGAAAUACCUACCAUUGGCCAGUGAUAUACUUAUAUAUCUUGAAAAAGCUGAAUUUUGUUUAUCAGGAAGUACUGAUCUAUGGAGUCAGUAAUAUGACUCUCUCAAUUUUAAAUAUUUUUUGUAUAUAGGCACACAAAAAAUGAGACACAGAAUGUUUUAAAAACUUAAGCAAGUGACUUAAGACACAUAUCAUAAACUUAAGGAAAGUAAAUGAGUAAAAUAUGUAUAUAGUCAGUUAAGAAAACAAAAAUUUUUAAAAAGGCAAUACAAGGGGCUGGGGAUUUAGCUCAGCGGCAUAAGCUCCUGCCUUGCAAGUGUGUGGUCGUGAGUUCGAUCGCUGGUACCAAUAAAAAAGAAAAAGACAAAAAAAGGCACACAGAAAACAAUCAGUGAUUCUUCAAUUGUCAUUGCUCAUGAAAUAAUCUGCCUGUUUAGAAGGAUAAAAUGCAGCUUAUAAUUGAGCUAUUCACUUCUAAAAAAUUCACUAAUUAAUAGAUGAUUAUAAUAUUAUUUUAAAAAUAUGUAUGCAUGCAUUUAUUAUUAUACUGGUAUAGGUAAAUUAGAUAUACUACACAUACAUAAUUAUGUAAAUUAAAGUCAGUGGAAUAAAUUAUUUGCUUUUUAGAACAAUUACUAUAGCAUACAAUUUUAUUUUUAAAUAAAGUGCAUUAAAAAUAGAGUAUAUUGGUAGCCUUAUAGUUAUUUAUAAAUUUAUGCCAUUUUGUUUUACCUUUUGUGGCAUUAUUUAAAUUUAACUAAAUUUAUUUUGUACGAGUUUAUUUAAAACAUUAAAUUUGAAAGUGGAUGCAAUUUUCUAAAAUGGACAAAGUCUCUCCAUGUCUAUACAUUUUUGCAUGUGCCGUACUUUUUUUCUUUUUUACUCUUCUGUUUAGAAAUGAAUUUCUACUACAUUUUAUGGUUCAGAUUGGGGAUAUAAUAAUUUGCUGCUGAUUAUAUUAAUCUUAUCUAACAAUUCUGAGGGCAAACCUAAUAUCCCAUUAAAAUGCUGGUUAUAUUUGUCUUAUCCCACAAGUGAAACACUAGUAAUGCACUACUGAGUAGUGGUUGGUGAAUCUCAGUCUCUAAAGGAAGCUAUUUGGGAUAUGCACGCAAAUGGCCUCUGUAAACAUAAAUAAGAAUUAGAAGGAGGAUGAAUUGGGGUAGAGAUAUGGAAGGAAAAAAACCUAAGUGUAUGUUCAAGGGACCCUUUAUAAGCAGUUUUUAUUAUUCCUUAAUUUCUUGACCACUGCAGCAGUGACUUCAAGGAACCCUGCACAUGGUCAUGUAAAUUCUAAAAUUGACCACAUUCAAUUUAGAAUACUGCUAAGUCUUACACUAUAUGUAUUCUUAAAUGACUUUCAGAGUAAGUUUUUUAUGUUUAUUUAAUGCCAUUUCCUUCUCUGUGAAGAGCAAAACGGGAGUAGAGACCAUAUGCUCACACUCUAUAAUAUCCCAGUACAGGGUAGCAGGCAGAAGAGGGGCGGGAAACUCUUCUAGUGUAAAUUUUAUAGCUUUGAAAUGUAUUCUAAUAACUUCUCAAAGCUUUAUCAGUUCUUCCUCCACUUUGUCUUGUAAAAUUUCAUGUCAAAGAAAGUAUCUUAGAUAAAAAUUUGAUUAACUGCUUUUACUGUAUUUCAUUUUAAGAUGGAUCACUGACCACAGGAAACAUAAGCUCAUGACUACAGAAAUUGUGCGUAUAUCCCGGGGCUCGCAGACCCAGUCCAGGCUCCUUACCUGACCUCCAGUCUCACAUAUUUUGAGCUCAGGGAACUCAGCAAUUUCAUCACAUGUGUCUAGCCACUUCUUUUCUCACUACACCAUUCUAACAUUUACCGCUAAUUCCCCAAUACAGGGAUUGAUAUACUCAGUUCCUUGCUCUUAAAAUUUCAUUCUCUUGGAAUAUUACCAUUUCUACUCUUGGAUAAUUUGUGUGCAUCUUUUUAGUGGAAUAAAAUAGUUCGAAUUGGUCAGAGCUCUUCAAAUAUAAACAUUUUUAAACUUUCCAAAAUGUUUUUCAGAGAGGUACUAUUUUGAGAAUAUAUGUAGUAAUCAUCUCUGGAAAUCCCCCAAAAAAAGACUUUUAAAAUAUCUUCAAAGCUAUUUAGCCCACUUUGCACCUGAAAAAGCUGAGGUACAGAAUAAAAGCUACUGUUCAGAGCCAUAUUCUUGUAAGUGAUAGGGCCAAGACAACCUGGCCAUGUCAUGCCAGUCUACAGUGGUGUUCCCAUCAGCCUUUGAUUCCGACCACUCUGGACAAAUGAGCAAAUGUUUCUGAGUGUAAAUUUGCCAGUGAGACUAGAUUUGACUCUUACUGUGUGCUCUGAUGCCUUCUUAGAAUUCUCUUCCUAUGGAUUAGUAGAGUCCACUGACUCUCCACUUCCAAUCUUUUUUGAAAAGUCACUUUCACUGUCUAUUUACUGUGAAUUUCAACUUCACUCUCAGCUCAGAUUCCUACUUUUCUUUUUUCAUCUUUAGUCUUUAUAACAGACAAUAUACCUUAACUUUAACUUAUUUCUAUUAGUUUUCAUUUUUGUUACUAAAAUUUAAACUUCAUGAGGGCAGAUAAAUUAUUACAUUUUACUCUAUACUAUUUCCCAAAAUUCUAGAACAGUGCCUGGGAUAUGUGAGAUAUGUGUAAUAGAUUUAAUAAAUGACUAAGUUAAGAUCUAGCAUAAUGUCACAGUGAUAUUUGCAGUUUAAGCAAAAUAAGACAGUACGUAAUGAUAAGGACACUUUUAUAGUGAGUGGUGUGGGACUGGCUUUAUAAAAGGAAAUUUUUGAAUAGAGGCAUGAAUGAAGGGGAAAGCAUGAAUUCAGUUAAUAGUGAAACAUUCUAGACAGAUAAAGUCUUGAUCAAAGGCCCUGAGGCCACCUCUUCUAUUUGGCAGACUCUUUUAAUGUCAAAGAAGUCCUUGUGACUGAAGUAGACUGAGCAAGGCAAAGAGAGUUAAGAGAUAAAGUGAAAUAAAUUAUUCAGACCAUUCAGGGAAGGCUUGGUGAGGACUUUGAUUCUGAUAACAAGACAGUCUACCAAAUUGAAGUGUUGGGAGGUUGGCAGAAUGUUGGAAUAUGUGAAGUUCUCAAUGUGAGUUGUUUAUUAUAUAUCAUGAAUUGAUUCAUGCUUAGAAGCUAUAAGACAGGGCAAUGAGAAAAGAAAUGAGCACUGGAUUUUCUUCCUCAGUGAUAUGAUUAAUGAUGAUAACAAUAGCAAAAUACAGAGAAAAAACAAAUUAGGUCAAGAGGGCCAUGCAGAAAGUUUUACUCAGCAGAGUGUAAAGACUAAUAAAAGAAUAAAUGAUCAUUUGUUUUUAAAGGCGUAUCAUACGUAGCAGUCACACUCAAAGAAACUGCAACAUUUUGUCCUGUAUUAUACAUUUUUCUAUAUUUAUAUUGUGAUUUUAUAGGAAACAGUUGGAUUUUUAAAAAUAACCAGACAUUAUUGUAAAACUGUUUAUCUUAAGCAACUGUUUGAUCUCACACACAUGCCAAAAUACAAACCAGGUCAUUUCACCUCUGUAAAACAUCCUCUGCCAGUGGAAAUGAUCUACGAUUGCUGAGAAGUUCGAUCCAAAUUCCGUAUGUCUUUAUAUGCAGUCCAAACAUGCAGGAGGUUGUAAGAUUAAACCAUGUGCUUCAUCAUUCACUUUAUUCAUGAAGAUUUUCUAUUAAUCGUUGUCUACAUUCAAUCUUGCUCUCUCAGUUUUUAGUAAAUAUGAUGUCACUUUUGAAGAGAAAAUUUUCACAUCAUCUCGUUUCGCGUUAAAGAUAACAAUUGUUUCAAAAUGACACCCAACCUCUCCUCUCAGCUGUUUUCACAGAAAGAAGAAAUUGUUUAUCAAAACACUCCGAUCGUGUCUGAGGUUUUUUUAAACUAGAGAUCAUGCUUAUACUUCAUUACAUAGUUUAAGUUUUGUGUCAGUAAGCCUCUAAUAUACUUAACAGAUUUUUAUUUGUCACGUUAAAAAGCAUAUACUAUAUUUAAUGCUAUAAAGAAAAAAAGCUAUAGAAAUGAGUGGAAAAAAUUCACAUGGAAUUAGUAGAAUAUGUAGGCUCUUAAUUAUUUUGCUUGUCCAAAGGGCACAGCAAUUGGGCAGACUGCCUACUAUACAUUAUAAAUUAAUUCCAUUCAUUCUGAAAACUUGUUCAUUAUUCCCCUACUUUGAAUUUUGGCUGCCCUAAUUAAUCGCCAUUGUAGAUUUCAGGCACUUGAGGCUCUGCAAGAGCUGCAUUUUUUCCAGCUUGUAAUCACAUACUCCUAACAGCCAAGGGCCGCAGACAAUGGCUCCUUCACGCUCUCAGCUGCACCUCAGAGUCCUGAGAGACAGACUUUCUGUCUCUGAUUUAUGGGCUGAGUCCUCCUUAAGAGAAAUGCCUGUGUGGGGACAAUGCACAGCCUAAGACAGAUGACCUGCCUGGGUCUUGGGCCCUAUUACCUUAAAGCUGUCACUGGAACACAUAGAAAGCUAGGCAGGCCCUGGGACAGUCCUUGGAAGAAACAAAGCUACCCAGGGCCGCCUCUUCAGGGAACAGUUGCUUUUCCAAACCCCAGUCCUGGAAAGUGUGCUGCACCCAUGGGCCCUGACUGCAUUUCCUUGCGAAGGCAGAAUGGACAGCCGAGCACUGCCAGCUCAGGCCGUCACAGCUAAUUAAGGACAGCAGGACGGGUCAGCAGCGGCUGUCCUGCUAUUUGCUACCAGACUGAAACGUGAUCGUUCGGUUUCAAAAGAAUAUAUAUUCCAUCUGAUCUUUACUGAUUACAUCUUUUUUAAGUUCAUGUAAUAAUGCAGGGAAGUUAUUUUAAAUGAUGAAUAAAUAUUGUGUUUAAAAAUAGAAAAACCCCUUCUUAAUCCCCACCCUACAAAAAAACUUGGCCAGAAAUUCAUUUUAUUCUUAGGAAAUUCCUAACUCAUCUGAUAAAAAAAAAAAAAAAUCAUACACCAAAAAAAAAAAAUUUAAAAAAAAGCUUUUUUUCUGUUCAUUGAUUCUCCUAGCAAUGGUGGCGACAUGAACAAAGCCACAUUGCAGGUACCAGCAUUCAGCGGGUUCUCAUGUUCGACUAGUGCGGAUGUCAGAGUUUCAGACUUCUAAAAUGAGCUUUGUACCUGGCCAGACAAGGCUUCAGAAAGUUUAUCUUAUGUGUACUUCUUUCUCAUUUUCCAUUGCUCAAUCUUAGAAUAGCCUUAUUUUUUAGGACUCCAAGAACUAUACGCUGUUAGUAUCUCACAUGGCCUAAUAGCGCUUACAUUUGUUUUAGGGUGUCAAUUUAGAAAUGAAAAGGUAGUGAGAAAAUAUGUAUUUUAGAUUGAACUUCUCUUUUGGCAGGUAAAAGUUACUUCUAUAGUUGAGCCUGUUACCCUCCUAAGUUUCAAACAUUGAAAGAAUAUCUUCAAAGAAGAAUGAGGAGGCAAAGGAGGGGAGAGAAAGCAAGAGAAAAAGAAGAGGCAGAAGGACAAGAGGAGGAGAGAAGGAGGAGGCAGGGGUGGGAAUAAACGGACCAGGGGGAAAGAAAAACACCCGGAGGUUUUAGAACUAGAUAAGAAGUAUUUUAUUUAUCGCAAAGCAUAAAGCAUUCAACUAACUCUUUGUUCCAGAGAAAAACAACGAAAAGAAAUCCAUUAAGCGUCUUUGCUCUUCAGACAAAAAAAAAAAAAAAAAAAAAAAAAAAAAAAAAAAAAAAAAAAAAAUGGACAUUUAUAUUUUAUGACAUUUUGGGAUCAAAUGUAUUAGCCUGUGGCUUUCUGGGAGAAAGAGGGGAGGAACAGGAUGGAGAAGUUGCUUUUCAUGUGGCUACAGUGUGAUAACAGGACUGAAAGAACUGUGAAAUUUUAGUUUCUUAAAACAUUUGUUAAGAAAAAAAAGAGAAGAAAAUGUGUCUUGCUACAAUGAAACGUUCUACACUGCACAUGUUAUCUCUGAACUGAAACAAAACAAAGGUUGACUUAUAAGAUGGAUUUUAAAAGGAGCAAGAGCUAGAACAAUAAUCACAGUCUUGUAAAUUGGAAAAUAACUUUUAGACUGACCCAGAAACUUUUCGGAGCCCCUGAGAGAGGAACAACUGAUCAUUUGAGACGAGGCUGUGUGCCGGGCAUAGCGGCCAUGCUUGAGUAAUCCCAGCACUCAGGAUGUUGAGGUAAAAGGAUCUCUGGGAGUUCAAGGCCAGCCAGUGCCACAAAGUGAGUUCAAGACCAGUGUGAACUGCACAGUGAAUCCUUGUCUCAAAAAGAAAAAAAAGAAAAGGAAGGAAGGAAGGAUGACGAAAGAAAAAAAAUGAAAGAAGAGAGAGCUGGAAUGUGUGUUGGCCCUGGCUCCGUCUUCAAAUUUUUUUUGAGUUUUAGGUAAGUCACUUAUAUUUUCUAUCUCUUUUUUCUGUUUUAUGAAUAAAGUAAUUUAGGAUGAUAAAAACACAAAGAAUUAUAAAUUUAAGUAAUAAUAUAUUUUCAAUUGAAAUAAAAUCAGAAUAUUCCAUGUAAAAAACAAAUAGAAUUAAUUUAAAUAUUUUAUUCAUCUAUGAGAAAAUUAUUGAUGUUAGUUAUUUCUCAUUAUUUUUAUCAGAGAAUGUGCAUAUUUAUAUUUUAACUAAAUGGAAAAUAAUCCAAAUCUAUAUUCAUUUUCUGCUAGUAAUCUAUAUUCAAAGUAAUGUUUGUCUUAAGUGUAAGUUAACUGCACCCACUGGAUACCUUCUUCUCAUAUUUAUAUCCUCUAAAAAUUAAACCAUGAAUUUAGAUACUUUUGUUUUGCAAAGGAAAGCAAAGUGAAUAUAUAUAUGUAUACAUAUAAUCCAAUUGGAAAUACAUUUAAAUACAUAUAAUCCAGUUGGAAAAAUAGAAAAUUCUACAGUAAUAGAAUAAUGCAAGAGUUGAUUCUAAACCAGGUUAGAUACAGAACCUGAAGAAGGCCAUUAUUGAGAGAAAGAGCAAAACUCAUUACAUGCACUUUAAUGCAAGAGUAAUAACAUACUCUCAUCUAAUGCUAGACUUGAAUCUCAGGAAAUGUAAAAAUUUAGGAGAUUCCAAAUCAAGAUUGCUUUUGGCCCUUGUCUCCCUUGAUGCUGUGGAUCUCUUCUGACUGCCUCUAACUCUCGCCAUCUGGGACAGUGGCACCAUGCCCAUUUUAUAAACCUCUCUUUUCUUUCCAUCAUUCCCACUGCUCCUUCCUCUUCUUUCAUCCUUCCCCUUUUCCUUCUUGCUACUCUCUUUCUUUCUUUCUUAUUUCACUUUACUAAGAAAAAUAUUUAAGCAAGAGCAGCGUUACAUGCAAGAUGGAAUUUCAGAAAAAUUUGUAUUUGUGUUUGGGCUUUGAUGUGACAUUUCUAAAUGAGCAAUGGAGGAGGAGUGUUUGCGUUUUCAAAUUGGCUUCUGAAACUAAGAAAAAAUCUGGGUGCUCCUAUCUAUCUGAAAAUUUGUAAUUCAAAUUCUAAAGCCUUUCCUUGUAUUUGCCAGGUUUUGUUACAACUACCUGCUCAGUCUCUUGAGAAUCCCAAAGCAAACUAUAGAAUCGUAAAGUACAACAACUGAGACAGCCUCCAAGUUCAGUUCUAUUCCUGCAGAAAAUUCCUUUAAAAUAGCUCUGGUGCAUGUUUAAGAAUUUUAGAAUCCCUGAAAAUAUAAAAAAACAGAGAAUGAAGCCUGAGUAAAUAUUCCAUGGCACACGUACAAGAGCAUGAAAGUAGGUUGGGUUAAGCAAAUCAUUACACUUCAUUCAAUCACAUCUUUCUAAAAAUAGAAACAUUCUGCUCCACUUGGAAUAAUUGCAAAGACUCAGGAUUAUAUAGUGUUUUCAAAUCUGGACCUUUUAAAUAGUAUGCCUUCCCCCUUUCCAAGCUCUUUCAAUCAAUGUACACAUACUACUGUCCUAAGAAAAAAAAUGUCAUGUUUUAGAAACACUGUUAUUUACAAGCAUAUAAAUAUACUAAAUUUUAGGAGAAAUCUGUUUUAAAUUUCUCAAUAUAUUAUGUAUAUGUCAAUUCCAUAAUUUCUCCCAAAAUAUAAUUUUAAUAAAAUAUAUCUAAUUUUAAAUUUACACUAUCCAUUCCAAUAUCUUUAAUAACUAUAGAGACUUUCAAAAAUUAUAUUUUUAUGUUGUAUUAGCCUUAACUAAAUAAAACGUUAUAUUUAAAGGAAGAAAAAAUUUGAGUUCCUUUCCAUUACUUCUGAUAUAUGCCUCAUGCUACUUCCCAUGGUAAAAACAAAAACUUACUUGCUGGUAUCUGUUUUCUCCAAUGGACAUUUUUAGGUUUGUUUAAUAUUAAUGUUCUAAUCUCUAAGAAAUGAUACUUGUUUAGGAUGCCUCGUGUUUCCAGUUUAGUAUAAUAAAAUUAUAAAUGAAAAGUACUUAAAAUAUUUCAUGAAGCCAAAUUUGCUUCUCAAAGAUCUUAUAAUAGGGGUUCACAGAGUUGUGUCUUCUUGAUACUUUCGAAUCAGUAUCAACUGCAAAAUUUUUGUGUCAUUUACUUGACCGUAACAAAAGUGUGAUGCCUAUAACAGAAAGUAGAAAUGACAAUGUGAAAGAAACUGUAAGUGGGUAGUUACAUUAAAAGUUCAUAUUUAGUGCACAAAUUUUGUUUGGUUAAAAAAAAAGAAAAAAUUAUUAUUGUAAGGUUUUGUGUGUGUGCAUGUGUGUGUAUGCGUGUGUGUGUGUGUGUGUGUGUGUGUGUGUGUUUUGUACUGGGAAUCGAAUUUAAGAUCUUGUGCUUGCUGGGCAGAUGCUACGCUGUUGAACUAUUAUAUUAGCCCAUAAUAGUCUAAUUUUUAGCAGAAAAUAAAAGCCAAAGAUAGACUAAAACAUGAUAUGUUUUCAUGGCUUUGUUACCCGAAUAACAGAAUUUCUUCGUAAAUCUCAUAUAAAAUGUGCUUGCCUUGUAGUUAAAUGUAAACAAUGGGAAGAAACUAAUCAGAUUAUUUAAAUCAAUUAAUUUUCUGAAAUUAUUUGGGAAGAAACUAAUCAGAUUAUUUAAAUCAAUUAAUUUUCUGAAAUUAUUUAGGGGAUGCUUAGAUUUUUUAAGUUGGUUAUAAUUCUUUUCAUUUGUUUAUGGGUCAGAAUUUCUUCAUGUGAGCAAUAAGCAAAAUCCAAUGUAACUUUAAGGAGAGCAAUUUUAUGCAAAAUAAGAUGCCCAUACAUUACAAUGUAAGUAGCUGACUCAAAGAGAAAGCUGUGCGGAGCUAUGAAGUGAGAGGUUACGUCAAUUAAGUGUUUAUCAACUUUAGAUGUUGACAUAACCCAAAUUUAAUAAAAGACGUUUUGAUGAAAAAACAGCGAUUCUAAAAUUAUUUUAUUGCUUUUGAAAAUCUUUCUAAAUGGCAUCUUUUGAGGAAAUUUGUUUCAGCUAAAAUUAUUUCAAUAAAAACACACAUACACAAGAAAGUUAGAAUAUUUUUCUUUAAGAACAUUAUAAUUGGCAGCUUGUUAGUAGCAAAGAAGGCUUUAGGUUUCUUUGAUUUGGCUAAAGAACAAAUUUUCCAUUUGUGGAGAAUUUUAUAUAAAUAUCAAUGUUUAUGUUAAUAUGCCUGACUUUUGGAUAAUAUAUCCUUAUACAUACAUUUGAACACUAUUUGCCUUUUGGAGUUCAAUGCUUUUGAAGUUGACGCAAGUCAGGGACUCCGCUAUUGAUCAAAAACUCAUGGAUUUGUCUAAAAUCCAACCAUAGACAUUUUUAUACCCUGCACUUAAAGAUACUCAGGAGAAUUUCCAUCCUUUGAGGAUGAUUUAAUUUUUAAGAAUAGCUUUAAAACACUUAAUGUUACUAAACCUGGUACACAAAAUGGCUGAUCAAAGUUGCUCACAAGACUGGAAAAUUAAGACCAGACUAAUUUUCAUAUGUGCAAAAUUAGAUACUACUGAAGGUCAUUUUAUGAAAACUGUGUUUCCCCGAAGACAAGACCCAGCCAGAAAAUAAUCGUCCUUGAAAAGAGUAGCUCAAAACGCCCAGCCCCAGCAGCCUACCUCACCUAAUUGAUCUUCUCUAUUCUCUUGCUCCCUACUCUGUAAGGUAGGCAGGGUGAGGAAGGCUGAAUGGGGCUGCCAUUUUUGAGCUCUGGUUUUCAAAGCUGAAUAUAGGUCUUAUUUCCUGGGGAAACAGAGAAGAUUAAGAUUAGCUGGAUGACUGUCCUGAAGCUCUCAGUUCCAAAAAAUACUUAAAAAUAUUGAGAUGAGAAACUAAUUCUUUUUGCCAGAACUUGCUGCCUGAGUGAAUAAUAUGUGCUUAAAAUAUUUAAAUACCUCAGUGGUCUGAAACCCACUACUUAAGCUAUGUUUUGAUGAUAAUGGCAGUCAAUGAACUUACUUCUAAGGUGGACUUUGGUCUACAAAGAGCUCUUUACUGUCUCCUCUACACCCCCACUUUUGCCUUUCAUUAAAUAAAAAUGGGAACAAUUGACAAAUAUGUUUUAUAUGGACCCAAAGUUAUUCUAAUUUACACUUCUUAAUUAACAUAAAUCAUAUAGAAAUAUGUUUAAAAGUUAAAUUAGUAUUGGAAGUAUACAAUGUCUCAAAAAGUACCUUAAGAGAAAUGAAAUAUUUCAAAUGUAGGUUUUAAAAAAUGAAUAACUUUAUUCAUAUCAUUAGAAGAAAAUACUGUCCAUAUGCAUGGAAGAAUAAAACUUCUACUUUAAUAAAGCACUUUAUUGAGAAUAAGACAGAAUUAUUUGUCUGAAACUUGGUUCCAUACAUUGCUAUAUUUCAAAGAUUGUAGAAGACAUGAGAUAAUGAGCACUGAAUGGGUUUCAACUUUUCCGUGUCUGAGCUUCUGUGAGUGAGUGGGUUCUGAGACUCAGACUGUAGAUUUCAGGAUAUUCAGAAGUGAGGGGCUCCACUAUGGAAGUUAGCAAACUGUGUACUGUUUAACGUGAAGUCAUGUGAGUCCAGGACAGAGGGAAAACAGACUUUGUCAGGGUGACUCUCCAGCUAUCUGUGUGUGCCAGGGAAUCAAGGAAGAGCAAGCACAUAUUGAGCACUUACUGUAUUCUCAGAAGUACAUCAGGUUCCCAAGAUUCACAGAGUCCAAGUACAAGGAUGUCACUGUCUAGAGAGAGACCAAGAAAGAAAGCUUUGACACAAUCCUUGUUUUUUUUUUUUUUUUCAAUUUUAGGAAGCAUUUCACAGAGAAAAAUAUACAGCUUUGAACCUAGAGUUAUAUAUUCUCUUGGUAGACUUGACUGUAAUCUAUUACACUAGUAUAUUCUUCCUUUGUGUUAAAGAUCAGCUGAUAAUAUCAGAUGCCCUUCAGUCUCAGAGUACAUAUACAGCACAUAAGUAAUGUGGUUUGCUGGUACAAUUUUGAAAAAAAAAAAAAAAAAGGUCUUUAGUUGGUAAAAAUGUUAAAAGUAAAAAUUAAUACAUCAUACUUACACAUAAAAAGAAUAAAACUAGUUUGGUGAGUAGAGCUAUGAAAUUCUACAACCAUAGCUAUCAUAGUUUGUACAAAAUUUACAAAGUUUCUGAACCUGUAUGCUAAAUUGAAUGUUACUCAGUGUUUUUAUGAAUAUUUCUUUCUUUGUCCUGUGACUGCAUGAUUUGCCUAUUUAUUUAAUCACCCCUUAGAAAGAACUGUAUAAUUAUGAAUGUAUAUAUACUAUUAAUGUAUUACAUUUUUGAUAACUAAGCGUAUUUUUCAAAAUCUAGUCUCUGUGUAUUUUUCCAGAAGAAAUUUAACACUUUGCUUCUCCGUAUUUCAUUGAUCGUUUAAAAGCAUUAACUUUGCGUUUGGAAUGUUGCAGCUGUUUUCCAGCCUUCAGAAACCCUAAAAACUAGUUUUAAGACAGGAAACUAGAAAGAGUGGCGUAUUUAACUGGAGUUUCAGAGGCAAUAUAGAAAACACCUAAAUUAACUUUGAUCCAACACUAUCUAGUUAAAGCUCUUAUGGAUUAAAAAAUGUAAUCUACAAAACUGCUGUAUUAUUAAUGGUACAUAAAUUGUUGAAAACCAUUCUGCAAAGGGGUGAUUGUAUCAGUUUUUCCUAGCCGUGAUUUCCAGCAACCAUUUAUAAUUAAUGUAGGAGUGGGGCUGCCUGUAAGUUAAGUUCAAAAGGAAUCAUUCUGAAGAGUACAGUACAAUUGUGUUGCAUCUUUGCUAGAAACUAGAUUGUUUCAGCCUGGGUUAGCAAUGGUUAGAAAAGUGUCAUUUCAAUGUCAUAUGUAAUAUACUCAUUAAUACUGCUCAAAUCAAAUCAUAGUAUUCUAUUUUUACCUAAUAAUAUCAAAGAUUUUCUAUUCCCAACCCUAAACAGAUUUCCAUUUAUCAUAGGUUUUUUUGAAAAUGUAAGUUGUUCAAUUUUUUGCAAAACUGCAAAUAUAAGUGGAAAACAUCCCACAAGUAAAGAUUUGAACAUUUGGUUGGAGGAAAAUUUUCUUACUUUAAUGUAUCCUUAUUUAUGGGAAUAUAUUUCUAUCAUAUAAUAAUUUUAAAUAGCAUUGUUAGAGGAGAAAUUAUUAUUUUUUGAAGGAGAAACUGCUAAGAUUAUAAUGAAUAAUUUAAAUCUAUAUUAAUAUACAUUUGAUAGAGAGCGUCCUCCUGUUUCCUUUAGAGAAAUAUAGAAUAACGUCUGAAUAAAGUCUUUUUUUGUUUAACCUGAUUUUAGUGAAUCAAUUAAUACGCUGCAUUAUGAAAUUUUUAAAAGUAAAAUUACUCCAUGUUUUUUACUAAAUAUUAACUUUUGCCUCUUCUUUAAAUGUAAAAUGGAGGAAAUAUAGCCAGUUUUUCUAAGAAUAAUUCUAGAAAACUAAGGAAAAUUUUGCUAAGGGAAAUUUAAAAAUAGAAACUAUAAAAAUUACAGUCUCAGUAGUAGAAGUCAUUUAUCAGAAUCCAAAUCAUUGUAUAAAUCUGUUAUUCAAUUAAUCCAAAGAUGCAUAGUGACAGACAUUUGAUGAACUACUUGCACUAAGGUAUUUUAUUUUCAUAGGGUUUAUUGAGAAAUACAAUAUUUAGCUGCAGUGGAGUCUCUUGGCUAGAAUUCUUUCUGGCCCACAUGUCACCUGUGGGGAAAACAGUCACCUGCUAGUUACAUUAAGGGUGGUUUUUAAGAUCUGGCACAUCCAUGUCUCUUUAGAUUAUUCAUUCUUAAAAGAUGAAGUCUUACAGAGGUAAUUCUGUUGAAAUUAACCACAAUCCUUGUAAUGAGUAUCAGAAUUCAUUAUUAAAACUAUAAAUUUUCUAAAUGCAACAUUCAAUAUUAUAGCUAUAAGAAACAAAUUAAUAAAGAUGCAAAUUUUUACUUAAAUUUUCUCAGGUUCUGCUAAUUGGUUUAAAAUUUCAAUGCAUAAUGGAUAUCUAGAAAGGUGCAACUGUUUUAUUCAUAGAUUCAAAAAUUUCCCACAGAUCUUUCUUUACAAUUAAUUUUAUUUGCAUUUUAUUCCUCUCCUACCAUCUUAAUCACCCAAACAUUUCUUGGUUACAAACUCAGUGCUUAGUAAACGCUCAUGGGAAAUAAAGCAGUAUCAUAUAUAUUGUUUCACACAAAUUGAUGUAAAAAACAUUUGGCAUCCAGUUGAUUGAAAGAACAGAUGCUUGUAUAAUUUAUGAAGCCAGAAAUACAUUCAGGAUAUCUUCCCAAAAUAGUAAGGCAUUUUAAUAAAAUAGUUCGUGGAGACCGCAGUUAUAAAGUUUAGACAACUCUAAAUUACAGACUGAAUUUUGAAUGGAGUAUAGAAAAUUUGAAAUACACUUAAUAUACUUAAAAUAAAAUUAUAAUCACAUGUGUUACAAGGUAACAUGAUGUAAUAAUAUCGCAUUGUUUUAUGUAAGACUUUUAAAAACCUAAAAUAUAUUUUUAUUAUAAAUUUUAGCUUUUCUUCAUUGCAGCACUUUAGAAGAUUUUUUAAAAAUUUUCCUUUCCUUUAUUUUGAGACAGGCUCUUGGGAUGGAACUUACAAUCCUCCUGCUUCAGCCUUCCUAAGUAUUGAUUAUUAUAGGCACUCAACAUCAUUUAUAUCUUUCAUGAGAAACUUUUAGCAAAUUUGUAUAAAGGGUCUGUUCCUUUUCAAAGAUGUAACAGGUUUGUUGCAGAAAAAUACUUAUUUUUCUAAGUAUUACUCUUUAGAAGAUUUUCAUUUUAAUAAUGUGAAGCAAACUAUUACUAAUGGGUAGAGUUUACAUGGAAGUAAUUUUAAAUUCAUUUCAAGUAUAAGUAAGCAUCUCUAUUCUUCUUAUACUGUAGGAGUCAAGGACAUGCCUUUUUGCUUUUUUGGGCUAAAAAUAUACAGUUGUCACCAUGCAUUGGCAGAGUUUGUGGAAGUCACAGGGUUAGUGUAUUCUCAUGGUGGAUCUUCACUGUAAAGAAACAGCUCAAGCUUCAGCUAUGAUUCAAGUUAUUCAUCAUAUUCAGUUCACUCUAAAUUUCACACUAUCGUAUACUUUCAAAAAAAUUUGUUUCUAUCAAAAAUCUUUUCUUAUAAACUAGCUCUUUUAUUGAUUUAUCAUUAUUCAGAAUGAAGUACUUCAGGAGGAUAGUAUAAUUUAUCUGUAACGUUAGCUCAUGCAUUUUGGAAAAAUGAAACAACAUAUAUAUAUAUUUAUAUUUUUAUCUUUUCUGUCUUUCUUCUUCCCAGUUUUCCUUCCUUCGUUUGUGUUUCAAGUAGCAUUUAAACUUCAGAGAAAAACAUACAGCAUUAGUUUCCCAUUAGAUAAAUCAUGAAUAUAUUUUUAAAUGAGAAUUUCAUAAUUUUUUAAAAUGCAGCAACAUUUAAACACACAGAAUUCUAUGUACAGACAAUGGCAUCUUGAUUUUAUAUCAAAUAAUUUAGGGGAUAAGAUGAAAUUAAGAAACUGUUUUGAAAGGUGAUCAGGAAUAACCACCCUGUAUAUGCAUAUGUGUUAGGUUAAUCAAGGGCUCCUCAUUUUAGAACAAUUAAAGAGUAAUUGUGACUUUUAAGUAGACAUCAAUUCUGUUCAGAACUACCUCCCUUGGAAGAGCUCUCCUGCGUGUCAGUCACCACCACCUAGCAGGUAAGAAAAUCAUUCAGCAGAGUUGCAUGUAUUACUGGGGAUGGUAUAUUAUUUUUUUAAAAGUCAUAUAUUUUUGAAGCUAUUUAGAAAAGAAGCCUCUGAAAGCUGCUGUUUUGAGGAAAGAAGCUGGUUGGAAGCUUGGAAUCCUUAAUAUAAUGUCUGUCUCUUAAUAACAAGUUUCAUGCCACAUUUUAUAGACUACUACAAAGUGUUGUUCAAAACUUUAUAAUAUAAAGAUAAUGUUAUUAUAAACUAAGUUCAUAGAGGUUAUGUAACCAGGUCAAUGGAUGGAAGAACCCAGGCCCUUUGCUUCAGAUCUAUUGUUCUUUGAAUACUAAUUGUAUCAUGCUUUGCAGUAAGGUGUACCUUUUGAACUGCUGCAAUUCACAUGCACGGGAAUGCAUAUAUAAAGAGUUUAGGAAAAAAAGGACAAGCAAAAUCAUCAAUAAAUGUACAUUAUUAUUAAAGUGAAGUUCAUGUUGGAGUUCUAGUGUUUCUUAAUCUUUUCCAUUAUGAUGGGAAUAUUUGAGCUUAGAUAUAGUUUUCAAACAAACUACAAAAACUAUGUUUUGUAUUUUUUUAAUAAAUAUAUGAUGUGGUUUUUAAUAUGUGAAUCUAGCUAAUAUGUAUAUUUUAAAUCAAUCAAUUGAUUUCUUCAAUCACUGUUAAUUUUGCUGAAUAUUGCAAAAGUUUUGUUGGAAAUAUUUUCUCCAGAGUAAAUUCAUAAGACAUUUUAUUGAGUCAGUAGGUAAUACACAUUCAUUUUCAGAGUUUAUGGGGGAAAAAAAAGACAAUUUUCAGACUUUUUGCUGUCAACAGCAAUAAAGGGUAUCAGUAACUAAAAGCUAUUGGAAAACAAAAUUAUAGUCUCCUCUGGGGUGCCAGAAUUUCAAUAGUAAAAGAUGUCUAAUUGGACCGAUCUUUGGCAUAACUUGCGCUGAUUUUCCUUCUUGCUCAGUGUAAACUCGUGUUCAAGUAGUCAGCUUGGCUCUCUGUUGUAUUCAGCCUAUUGCAUUUUGACCUCUUUGACACUGUUCUCCUAUUGAAGUUGCCAAAACCCUCAGUAACUGCAAUUAUAAUUACCCAGUGAGUGUUCCGCAUUGUACACUUUAAAUGUGGAGUCUGGAGGUAAACAUUCUAGUGCUGAAACAUUUUAUGAAAUUUCACAUCCCAAGCAGAGGAAUAAAACCCCUAAUAAAUAAAGUUUGAGACAAGUGAGAGGAUUUGGAACUCCAAGUUACCAGUUAAACUUGAUUUUCACUUAGGAUUAGCUUUAGAGAUAGUGUUUAUUUCUUUGGAGAGGAGGGAAACAGUAAAACACACACAUAUAUAAUUUAAUAUAAACAUAUUAUGUAUAAAUGGAAUAUACAUUUUUCUCUUCUACAUUUUGCGAAGAUUCAUUUCUUGAUUAAACUGUCAGUUUAUUUAUAGCAAUGUGCUGCCUCAAAAACUUUUAACAAAGUAACCUAAGUGAAAGAUGAAAUGGAUUGCAAUAGCAAAAUCUCACUUCCUCUAGUUCGUUCAGUUCAAUGCACACAUGCUCAAUUUAGGUCAAGGCAUCAGGCAGAGGAAAGGGCUGGAGACUGACACUGAGAUGCUCUAUUUCACACACUUGCCCUCCGGAUGGACUGGCAGAGGCAGUCACUUAGAUUAAAUACAGGUCAUCAAACAAGAUACAUAAUCUAUUUCUAAAACCGACAACUUUAGCAUCCCAAAUCCCUAUGGCCUUUUACUGAGGCACAUUGGACUACUUCUUCAUCUUCCUCUGUCAAUUUACAUUAAAGUUUGCUUUGUUUAAAAGUGGUAUUGCAUGUAUUCUCUGACCUUCUUGCUCAAAGCAAAGAAAUUGCUUUGGUUUAUUUAUGACCUACUAACCUUAAGCAAAACUGCAGUGCUUAAUGUUCUCGCAGGCCUAGGGAUGAAAAAUAAAAGCUAAAAUAAAUUUGGACUUGAAGUGAAUUAGUCUUAUCCUGCCCACACAACCCUAAAAUGAAAAAGAAAGGUAUAGGGGAUACCCAUCCAUAAAUGAUUUCUCAUGACCCUUUUCAUUCAAAGAACACUAUGCAACAAUGCAAAUUACUAACAUCACAUUAUAAUUCUGGAAUUAUGAACAUUGUGUUUUAAAAAUCACAUUGAACAUUCCUAACAUAAAAGGCAAAAGCAAAAUACCAUUAAGUAUCUGUAUUUUAAAGAUACAUAAUUUAUAGCUAAAGAAAUAAGCCAUGAAAAUAAAUAUAUAGAAGAGAUAGGAUUACAAGCACAUGAAAUAAGGGUAAAAAUCUCACAUGAAUUAGCAGAAAACUAAGUUGAACCAGCAAGCGUAAUAGUUUUUCUGAUGGAACAAAAGUAAUUGAGAAAAUAGAGUCACAAAGUUCAUUCCCUUCUUUUAUGAUAGGCUAAAUAUAGAUCUUAUUUCCCAUUAUAGAAAAUUUAAGCUAUUAAGAGGUUUUAACUGUCAAUGAACUGUGACUAUUUCAAACAAAUAUUAUGUUUAGGCCUGAGAAAGAAGAAUUAAUUACUGCACUUAUUAUUUAUUUUUAUGUACAUAUAAAUAAGAUUAAUACAAUGUCUUACUGUUAGAAUUGAAUCCAUAUAUGACAAUGUUAAUAAUAUUCAAGAUUUUUAUUUUAAGAAUUUGAGAAAUUUAUGCUAAAUUAUACCAUGCAAAAAAAAAUUCUAGGAGCACGUUUUGUAAAACAAAUAGCAUAUAAUUGAUUGUAACUACCCUAGACCUCUGCUUGUUAGUAGGGUAAAUGAAUAUUUUGUGUUAGGAAAAAUAGGCAGUUUGGAGUCUUUCAUCAUAGCAUUCUAGCUAAUCAUAUCUUAGCCCAGUGUAGAAAGAGAUGAAUAGGAUGAUUGAAAAUGGCUGUAUAUUCACCUGAAAAUAAUGCCACAACAGACAGACAACAGCCUUCAGGUGUAAUUGAUAAUGCAAACAAAGGAGUCCCCUGUCCCGUGAUGACAUUCUUUCCAGCACCAACACUGAAAUGCUGACUUAUAAAACAUUCUUUUAAGGAGUUGUACUCUGUAGAAAAAUUGCUUAUCUCAAAGAAACGCUUGCUACAACAUUCAGAUUAAUCACUAUUUUAUAUUUUAUGACUGAUUUUAUUUCCUUGAUACAUAUUUUCAUGAAUCCUUAAUCCCUGAUUUGCACCCAAAAUAUCAGAGAAUAGUUGUCUCGUGAAAAAUUUGUCUAGAAGAUAUUUCAAAAUAACUUUUUAAAAUUUGGUUUUCUGAAUAGAUAAAAUGUCAGAAUGUGUAGAACUUGCGGUACAUAUUUCCCUAAUAAUUUCACAAAUAAUAGCAUUGACUUGAAUAGACCAUAUAGUAUUCCAAAACAAACAGAGUUAUCUCAUGCACAGGUAAUUAUAACUAUGUUGGAUGCAGUUAAUUGUGUUAAACAGUGAAUUUCUAUCCCGGUUUUGAAAUAUCCAAAAAAAAUUUUGUUGUAAUUGAUGACAGGAAAUUAUUGAAUGUUGUUAUAUAAUAUAUUCAUUAGCAUUCACAAUAAUUUAAAAACAAGCAUAAUUUAUAAAAUAUUCUUACAAAAGACAGAGAUGAAAAGGAUGUUUAACCUAUCCACCCACAACAAAUGUUAAGAAUUUCAUAUCCAAUAAUUGGAAAUAUACGGUUUUUGUAGAAUCUGUUGAUGGCCCUUAACCUUUCAUUGUAUUAAUGACAUAUUGGUAGCAUAAAUAAGAAAAGUACGUUAAACCAGGUUCUUCAUUCAUUAUUUGUUUAGCGUUUUCUAAAUGAUUUUUCCAUGAAUUACAGUUUUAAACUGUAUUUUAUAGUCAAAUAUAUUAAAUAUAUGUAAAUAUAAAAUGGUACUAUUGACAGUAAUUUAAUUUGAGAAAAUUCUAUACAAUUUAGUAUGCCCUACAUGCAAUCUGUGUAAGUACUUAUAAGCACAGCAAGACUGAAAUUAUAAAAUACUGUUUUGAUUUGAUACUUCAAGUUACUUUAAAUAACAAAUUACCUUGUCUUUAAUAGCUAGAUAAUUCUGUCUUUGGGAUUAUGCCAUAAUAGGCUUUAAAAAUCUCAAUCAAACAUAUCUUUUUCUUUCGUAUGAUGUGAUAUGGAGACUUGCCAAACUCUCACUUGGAAGAAUCAGCCUUCUUUCCUGUUUUUUCAAAGUUGAUUAAAAAUGUAUUAAAUGUACAGUUAUGUGUGUGGAUUUUUGUGUCUUGUAUCGCCUUCAGAUCCUUACAACGGCUGUAAAGUCUGCAGCACUAUGAGCUUAGAGGUUGCUUCAGUGAACAUUCAACGCUGUCGGUGAGUUUGGAAUUAAAAUCAAAACCAUCGACCGUUGAUUGUACCCUAUGGCCAACCAUCAUCUACUCCAUGGCUCCCAGAACUGACUGAAGAAAGAAAACCAAAGCAGAACCCAUCUGACCAUUCUCAUCCCUGUGCAGAUGUUGCAAUUAAAAAGGUCACAAUCAACAUUCAUUGCUGUCGGUGGGUUGAAUUGUGUGGACAAGCUCACUGGACAAUGAAUGCAACUGUGGCCCCCACUUUUUGCUAUCACAAUCAACAGAUGUCCUGUCCUGGAAAGAUGUACUGCAUGGAGUAAUGUGAUCCUUUAUUUUAAAAUCUUUAUUCUGUCUGAGUCUUCAGGUUUCGUUUUUCAAUUUAUAUCAUCCAUUCAGAUGUCAGUGAAAAGGCACUAGUUUAAACAAGGAUAAUGCUUCUCUAUAUUUCCAUAUGUAUAAAUAGGACAACUUUUAUAAAAGCUAAAAUGGCCCACAGAAUCUAUAGCAUAACUUAUCUGGGUUAGUACACUGCCCUAGUAUUGCAGUGUAGGGGAAAGAAGACAUGAAGAAUCUAGGGGAAAAAAUUCAGCACCUCUACCUUGAGCAUCUAUAUCUCCAACACUUAGAAAUCUCCAUUAUCUCUCCAUAUCUGGUUAGAUGUCCUGGUCAAAUGGGGAUAGAGACACCAGGUAAUUUAUCUUUCUGCUUCUCUGGAUGAGAAUAUUUUGUCUUGCCAUGGAAUUUGCUAAGAAAGGAAAAAAAAUACAUAUUUGUGUGUGUGUAUAUGCAUAUGCAAUUAUUUGAAACAUUAUGGUAAUCAUAUAGGAGUUUGAUUUUCCUAAUUAUCUCAAGUUUAAGAUGAAAUUGACCCAGUUCUUUUUUGUUUCUCCUUCCAAAAACUUGAUCUGAAUCACUGGAUUUAAAAUCAUCUCCAUUAACUGAGUCAUACUUAUCACAUUUUUAAAUAAAAGCUGUACAUGUAUAUCAUACACAUCAUUUUAUCUUACGUAGUUUCAUUCUAUAUUCAUAACAUUUGUUAUUAAGUUUGAUCUCAGUGAUUAUGUUUAUCAUUUGUAAUGGCAAUACUAAUUAUUAUUUAUAGUAAUAAAAUGUUUAAAGAAUAUAUGUUUGGAGUAUCUGGAAUACUUCAGUGUUCAUUUAUAAAAUCUGUCAAAUAUAUUAUUCCUUUUGCUUCUUGAACUUUUUAAUUUCAUUUACUUUCAACAUCUGUUGUAGAUAUGUCUCUGUCUUUUUUCUCUAGAUUUUAUCAUAAUCCUAAAAUAUUUUGCCACAUACAACACUGUCUACUUAUUGCUUUCUAGCUUUCUAGCUUCUCACUUUUUUAGUUCCAAGGCAACAUUCAUUUACGCUUCCUUAUUACUGGAAAAAAUAAUCAUAUACUCACAGGAAGUGUGUUAGUGCAUAUUCUUCAACCUUCCGAUGCCUUGGUCUAACAACUACAAUCUAGCAUCUCUUACACACCACUCUCUUGUGUAGUACUUAGCCAAAAUGUUGACUUCUUGCUUUGACUGCUUUUCUGUACAAUUGCACUUUCUUUUUAUUUUUAAAAAGCAAAAUAGAACUACUUCUAAGAUAACAAUAUGCAAUAUAAUAACUAGUGUUAAAUCCCACAAUUUUUAAAUUUUGUAUCGUUACAAUUGCACUUUCAGUAGAUGAGCUGGCCUCUCCUUUUUAUUGACAAGGAUUUUGCCUUUAAAGUCUUUUAAGGCUAAUAGUCCAGAAAUACUGCCACAGUGUUUAUAUUCAUUUAUUUACCAUUUUAUCUCAACAAUCAGAACGUUAGCUGUUUCACCCAUUUCUCCUGCAUAGUAUCAUUUUUCAAAAGCUUCUCUUGAUCAAGUGAAUAUUACCAAGUAAAUAUUACACUUGUCUAGUAAAUAUUCUGCUUGAAUUCCUUUCAUGUCUCAUACUACUGACCCCAUCUUUCUGAAUGCCAAUUUCCAUUGAUAUUUGUGACCUUACUCUCACAACAGUGAUGUGUUAUUUAUUUUUUGCUUUUGGUUUUUGUUCGUACUUGUUUUCUUUUUUGUUUUGUCUUUCAGUUGACUUUUCUCUGAGUGCCAGUAUUUUUAUGAGACACAGCUUUUACUUUCUGGAUUUCUUCACUUAUUCCUGGUGGAAUCUCAGGUACAUGCACCUUGUUUACAUCUGCUGACAUAAAGCUGGCACUCAAGCCUUAUCUCCAGGUUAGAUAUCCUAAGUCUAUCUAUCUGGCUUCUUCUCAUAGCCUAAGCCUAUCCAUGACCACAACUAAUCAUCUUUUAGAUCAUCUAAAUCAGCUUAAUCACCAAAACCGUAAAUCUUGAAAUCAUCUUAUUCUCCUGCAUCUGGUUUCAAUCCUUUUCCGCAAUUAUAAUUACAGAGUCCUACAUAUUCUCACUUAUCAUUAUUAUUUUAAAAUUUGAAGUUUUUUCUGUGUACGUCUACUACUUUAGUUCAUAAAUGCAUAAAAUCUUACUUGGAGUAGUUCAAUAAUCUAAUUAACUCUGUAUCUAUUAUAACCUAUCCAAUAUUUUCUUUGCAUUAGUUUUGAAAGAAGAAUUUUUAAAAAUCUAAUCAUUUUGUAAACUGCUGUAAUUCCCCCUACCUAAAGUAUCCCAAGACAUCAAAUAAGUGGGUUGUUCACAUAGGAAAAAAUGUUAGGAGACAAGUUAAAUAGAAAAAAAAAUUAUGUAGAACCUCAUAUAAUUUCUCAAAAUUUCUUUCAGUACAUUAAAAACUUACAUGUAAUUUUUAAAAAUUCCUAGAGUAAGAGUAAUUAAAAUAUAUUUAUAUUUAAAUGGUAAAGAGCUUUAUUCAGCAUUAACACAAUCAACGCAAGAGAUAAAUGAACAAUGCACCAUAGUCAUUGGAUAAAUGCAAAUGAGUGAUACAUAUAUAAUAUAAAAUUCUGCUUCAGUCAUGAAAAGUCUAUCUUAGUAAGAUGCAAUAUAUCUUCAGUAAAGCUUACAGAUGAAUCAGUGAUGGAGAACAGUGAUACUGACAUGAUUUUUUUAUACUGUGAUAGAUACGCUUAUCUUUAGUUUCUGCUUAAACUUACUUUUGGGUUCAUUGCAUCUCUUUUUGAACAUAUAAUUUUCACCUUUCUGUCUAGGAUGUGUUGCACCAGAGUAUACACACCAGUUACAAGGGGAACUAUCCAUAAGAUUGGCUGAGACUUCCAUAUUUUUCUUGUUAGGAAUUUGACCUAAAAUAUACUACCAGGAAGUGGGAGGUGUUUAUCAUAAGGAUAAUAUUAUAAAAGUAUGUAAUAGAUUAACAUUUUAUUUCAUUUUGGGUCAGUAUAAAUGAGAAAUAGUUGAGUAAUAAAGAACAGCAAGGAAAAUGAGACUUUCCAGGUUUUCUCUUACCUGAAAGAUAAAUCAAAUAGGUUAAAUUCAAUCAGUUUCAUGUACAGCGCUCUUUUCUGAACUCUGCUCAGCUUCUCAAAUCUGUUUUAGAUGUCUAUAACACUUUAAUGUCUUGAAAUAAACCUGACAUUGUCACCUAAGACUGAUGUCUCAGUCUUUAAAGUCAUACAAUUUUCAUAAGUAUAUAAGAUAAAGUUACCUUGAUUGGAACAAUUUGGCUCCAUUUAAUAAGAAAUUGAAAAUACUUUUAAAUUUUUAAUGAAGAAUUUUAUUUCUAGGAUUUUUUUUUUUUUUUUUUUGGUACCCAGAAUCAAACUUGUGGCCUCGUGCUUGACAGGCCGGCACUUAUGCCACUGAGCUAAAUACUCAGCCCCUCAUUCAUUAUUUUAAUAGAUAAAUAAUAAUUGUAUAUACUUAGAGAUGUGAUAUUCGAGGUAGUUAUGUAUUACAGAAAGAUUAUAUGAAGCCAGUUAACUUAUCAUUUCAUCAAUUUAUCACUUUAUGUGAUGACAAUGUUUUAAUGUGUGUUAAUAACUACAGAAUAUAAAAUACACUCAUAUUACUUGGUCAUCAACUUAUUUUUCUAUGUCUAUGAGACUGAUAUUUUUAAUUUUGACAUAUAAAAGAAGAGCCAGCAAUAUUUGUCUUUCUAUGCUAUUUUAUGUAUUUCACUGAGCAUAACAUCUUUUACUUGAAUCCAUGUUGAAAAUAUUUCUUUCUUGAGAAUUAUUAAGAUUCCAUUUUGUAUAUAUACUACAUUUUUUAUUCAUUCAUUGAUGGAUACUGAGGUUGUUUCCAUAUUUUGACAAGAAUGAAUAAUGCCAAAAUAAACAAGAAAGAGUAGAUAUCUCUUUGGUAUAGUGAUUUUAAUUCCUUUGAAUAUCUAUAUACCAAAGACAAUGAUUGCUGAAAUAUAUGGUAGAUCUCUAUUUAGUUUUUAUGAGGAACUUUCUUACUAUUUUCCAAAAUGUCUGCACUAAUUUACAAUCCCACGAAUAGUAUACAAGGAUGCCAUCUUCUCCACAUCCUUGCCAGUGUCUCCAUCAUUCCCAUUUGCUGUUGUUUGUCUUUUUGAUAUUAGCCACUGUCACAUAUAAGAAGUGAUAUUUCACUAUAGGUUUAAUUUGCAUUUCCCUGAUAAUUACAGAUGUUAAGUAUUUUUCGUAUAUGUGUGUUGCUACUAUAACACCUUUUAAGGAACAUCUAGUCACAUCUUUUACCCGUUAUUUAUUUAUGUUUUUGUUACUGAGUUGUAUGAGUUCCUUAUUUAUUUUUUGGAUAUAUGACUUAAAAAUAGAUACUCUUCCCCACUUUUAAGAUUGUCCCUUCACUCUGUUGUUUCCUUUGUUGUUCUGAAGCUCUUUAAUUUGAGGCAAUUCCAUUUUUCUAUCACAAUUUUUUGUCUUUGCUUUUAGACUUCCAUACAAGAGAUCUUUUCCCACAUCAAUUGUCUUAGUUACUUUUCUCAUUGCUGAGGCAUAAUACCCAUACUCACAGGUUAAGGAAGGAAAGGUUUAUCUAGCUCACAGUCUGUAGAGGUUUCAGUCCAUAAGCAGCUAGCCUGAAGGCUUGGAGAACAGGUAUUGCAAAGCAGAAACAGUUCAUGGUGGGUAGAAGCUUUCCUGACCCCAUUUUUGCAUUCUCUGUAUAUUUAAAACCAGCACCAUAUGAAUGAUUCCAAGGCCUGCUGCCAGCAGGAGCAGUGCCAGACUUCCUUCUCUGUUGGCUGUAGGGAUCCAGUACCUAUCAACCAAAUCCCAAGAAACGACUUUCCUAGGCUGUCAUCAUUCUUGAACACGGUGCUCUGGGGUGCUCUUCUCUAAGUAAAGUCUCACUUUUGCAGUCUUUAGGCUGCAAAAAGUAGAGUUCUGCUGAUUCCUGUGAUAUGCUCUGGCCAUCUUUUCUGUUCUCCUGUUCUUUCUCAGAAAUCAAAGUGUCCUCUGCUCUGUCUUUGCAAGCCACAGUUUUACUGGAGCUUCCUUUCUGGACAAAUUCAAAAUGUUUUAAAUCAUCCUUCUGGGCUAUUGUUCUUGAUUCACAACAUAAAGUUGGCCAAAUGCCCUCGACUAGAGCCAUGCCACUGCCUCAGUUUUGCUGCCUUGAAAUUUCUCCUGCAAGAUUAAUUCGCCUGACACCCUUAUUCUCAGUGGCAGGAAAAGUCACUGGACACAAGCAAAAUGCAGACAAACUUUUUGCCAGUCCAUAAAAGAUAUCAUCUGGAGUCCAAUACUCAAUGUAGUCCUUCUUCCCGGCAGAAACCUCCCAAGCCUUGCCUUCACCGGCAGCAUUUCUAUCAGCCUUCUCAUCUUUGAGUACCAACCACAGUCUCACUUCAAGGUUGCAGAUAUUUCUGGUGACAUGUCCAAAUUUUUCCCACAGGCCAGCCCUGAAGGCUUCUGUAUAGCCACAGCAACAACUCCACUCUUAGAACCAAAUUCUGUCUUACUUUUACUUUUCUAGUUGUUGAGACCAAAUACCUAACACUCAUAAAUCGAGAGAAGAAAAUUUUACUUAUUUACAGUUUGUAGCGGUUUUAGUCUAAGGUGAGGUGGCACAGCAGACAGGUAUUGCAGAGGAGAAACAUUUCAUAGCAGAGAGAAGGCAGAAAACAAGGGAUAGCCACAGCUCUUCCUUUCCAGUUUCCAGGCUAUAUAGGGCAGGUAGCACUCAUGCCCUUGAUCCUAGCAUUGCACCAUGAAUCAAUUCCAGCAUCACACAAGCUAGAUCCAGCCACCUCUGCAAAGGCUUCACCUAUGACUGCAUAAGGCUUUAUGGGGACAUCCAGACACUAUCCAUAACACCAGUAUUAUAUAGUUUUCCUUGUGUUUUUUAAUAGUUUCACAAUUUCAAGUGUAAUUUUUAAAUCUAUUUUGAGUUGAUUUUUUAUGUAUGUUAUGAGAUAAAGAUCUGAUUUUAUUUUAUGUGAAUAUCAGUUUUCUUAGCACCAUGUAUGGAAGAGACUUAUCUUUCCCCACAUGUGUUCUUAUUGCGUUUUCUGAAAAUCAAUUGACCAUAAAUACUUGGUAGAUUUCUAAACUUUUUAAAUUUUUUUCUUUUGCAUGAGGUGUAUAUUUAUAAUGGCAGAGUGCUUUCUAUUGUUUUAAUAGCUUUAUAAGGACAUUUGAAAUUAGGGAGCAUGUUUAUUUUUCAUUAUAUAUGAAUGCAUAAAGAUAUCAAAGCAGCAUGAUUUUUACAAAUGUAGUAAUGGAAGUAAAUUACACAUCCAAAAUGGUUGUGGUAUAUUGAGUUAUGACAUAUAAUAGUAGCUAAUAGAAAUUCAAAGGUGUUUAAAUGAAGGAACUUGUUACAUUUAAAAUAAAAUGUUUCCAGAACUCAGACUGAAGCUUAAAUCUCACCAUUGUAAAAGAACAGAAUUGAGGAAAUUGACUUUCUUAAAUCUCAGUUUUCUUAAUUGUGCAGCUCAUUCAUGAAAAUUUGUUUUAAUAAUAUACUUUUCAUGAACAUAGCUUGAAAUUGCAGCAUAAGGAAAGAUUAAAUUUUUUACUACUUAUUUGUCUUAAAUAUUGCCCUUGAUUUUCUAGAAGGUAGAUACAUUUAUUAUUCCAUUGAAUUAAUAAUUUAAUGAUAAUUCUACAACUUCAGUUUUGUUUGACUUUUUUUGUUAGUUCAUGCUUACUGUAUACAGUGAUUGUCUUCACUGUAGGGAACUGGUACGUGUAUAUAACACAUUUCAAUUUAUUUUUAUCCCCAUUCCCUCCACCUCUUUAAUUUUCCUGGCAUCAGAUUAAUUUAUUUAUAAGACUUUAUAAAAUUGUCAUAUGCACAGAUUGAAAACCAGACUAAAAGGCAAAGAAUAUAUAAAACAGGUAAAACAAUUGUCCUAAGCCGAGGAACACGUUUAGAUAUACUAUCUGCACUGGAUACUACUUAUUUUUUCUUUCUAAGACUGUCACUACUGACAGGUUGAAUUGUGCACAUUAAAUUUUAGGUAGUCUACAGUUAAACCUGAAAAAGUGACACAAGUAAUAAAAUUCAGGAAAAAAUUUGUGAAAUGUUUUAAUUUUCAUUUUGAACAGGUUUUUUUUAAACACUUUUAAAUUUAUGGGUUUGUGAAAGAUUUUUCAAAAGUUAUUAUAGUUUCAUGUGAAUUUUGUCCUAAGUACCGGCUUUAAAAUCUAACUUCCUCUUUACUUUAGGUAAGAACGACUUCUAGGUAUCAACAGGCUUUCUUACAUUUUAAGGAGGGUAAGUUAUAACUAGUAGAUGAGAUAGCAAAAACAAUUUUCAAAAUGCUAGAAAAAAUUGUUUUUCCAAAUUAUUUCUUUUAUUUUCCUCAGCACCAUCAUAAUCUAUUACAAUUUAAAUGGAUCUUAAUUAAAUUUUCCAGGACAAACAUUCACCUUUUUUAAAAUUUUUAAACAGAAAAAACAAAAGUAGCAAAAAACAGAGUUUCGUAGCAGGUUAGUACGUUUAAUCAUGGUUAGUACAUUUGAUCAUGAAGGUGGUUUCCCCAGGGUGAAGCUUAUCAGUUGCACUGCAGAUAAGUGGAAAUUACUGUCUGGCCCCUGCAAUUCCUCAACAUUGGAAACUCAACUGCAUGACUAUGGUAGUAAGAGACUGUGUUCCUAAUUUUAAAAAAAUUAGUAGGAGAGUUACAAUAAUUGAUACAUUGCAUAUUGUUAUCUUCAGUAGUUAUCCAGAGUACAAAACACAGGCCAUCAUAUUUUGUUCAAACAAUAUUAGCACAAACCUUUCUUUUCAGUGAACUAAAAGAAUCUAGCUGUACUCUCUUAACUAUCUUGUGUAAAAAUAUUUUUUUCUUUCUCCCUUUUUUCCUUUCCCCUUUUCUUAUCACAAUUUGUCCUUUUUUUUUUUUUUUUUUUGCACAGUUCCUUUAUAUUUCACAAUAUCUAUUGCACAUUCUGGAUCUUAUUUAUUCUUUCUUUCAGCUUCUCACACUAGUGAGACAAUACAUUUACACAUAUGGGUCUUGGGGCUGGGGAUUUAACUCAGUGGCAUAAGCGCCUGCCUUGCAAGCAGGCAGUCGUGAGUUCGACCCCUGGUACCGAUAAAAACGAAAAAGACAAAAAAAAAAGACAAAAAAAAACACACAUGUGGGUCUGAUUUGUUUCACUUACGAGUAUGGUCUCAAUUGCAUUCAUUUGGCUGUAAAUGUCUCCAGUUUAUCCUUCUUUAUAGCUGAGUAAAACUCUGUUAUAUAAAAAAAUCACAUCUCUUUUAUAUGUUCCUCAGUGGCUGGGCAUUUGAGUUGUUUCCAAGAUUUAGCUAUUACAAAUUGUGCUGCUAUAAAAAUGGGGGUACAGAUAUUACUGUGGUAUGAUGUUUUUAAUUCUUCUGGGAAGACACUCAGAAAGGUGUUAGCCUGGUUCAAUUCUAGUUUUUAAGGAAUCUCCACACUGAUUUCCACAGUGGUUAUACCAGUCUACACUCCUAACAACAGUGGAGAAGGGUUCUUUUUCCUACACCCCUCCACCAUUUGUUACUGGGUGAUUUCUUAAUGGUAACCAUUCUAUCUUGGAUAAGGUAGAAUCUCAGUGUCAUUUUAAUAUGCAUUUCUCAAAUAACCAGUAAUGUUGAAUAGCUUUUCCUAUAUUUAUUUGUCAUUUGUAUUUCUUCAUCUGAGAAAUGUGUAUUCAUUUCAGAUGCCCAUUUUUAGAUCGAAUCUUUGAAUUUGGAGGAGUCUGAUUUUUAAAAUCUUUUUUAUAUGUUCUAGAUAGAAGCCCUUUGUCUGAGAGAUAGUUGACUAAAAUUUUUUCCCACUCUGUAGGUUUUCUUUUCACUCUGUUGGUGAUUUCUUUUGUUGUGCAAAAGCUUUUUAAUAAGAUGAGAUCCCACUUGUUGAUUCUUUGUAAUGUCCCUGUCAGUCUGGGUUUUGUUCAUGAAAUUUCUGCCUAAGCCUAGGUCUUUGGGGUUAGUAUCUAUUCUCUCAUCCAGUAAUUCUAGUUUUUCUAUUUUAGUACUCAAAUCUUUGAUUAAUCUUGACUUUAGUAUAGUGCAUCGUGAUAGACAUGUGUCUAGUUUUAGUCUUCACCAUGUGGAAAGCCUGUUUUUCCAGCACCAUUAUUUAAAGAAAUUAUCUUCCUGUGAAUGUUUGGCUUCUUUGUAAAUUUAGACAAAGUCACAGAUUCUUUUUGCAUCCUCGCAGAAAACACAUUGUGAAUACAUUCAGCUUUUUAACCAGUCCUUUGCCAUGGAAAUUUUCCAAAACCUCAACACCGAGUAAUAGAACUAAAAGAUUCCACUGUAUUCAUGGCCUUCAUCUCUCUAAACUCUGCACAGACAGCUUGGACCUGUGAAUAUAAAGCUUUAGCUAAUGGCGCCAAAUAACACAAAGCCAUUUUUAAGACGCCUGGCCUAUGCUAUCAAUCCUUUUACCUUAGGCAACCCCCUCCUGCUAGUUAAGUGCUAACACAUGCUGUGCAAGGGACGAGGGAUAUGGGUUACAGAUUAAAAUUAGACACAGAAUUAAAUUGCUUGAACAGAGCAAAAUAGAAGAGAGUAGUGGAUGGGUAGAGAUGACAAUCUACACACAGUUUCAAGACUGGAUUUUUAUAAAUUUCCAUUGGAAAUCUUAGGUUUAGGUUCUGCCUUCAUUACUGAGAGUUAUUUUUAGAGCAAAACACAUCAAAUCUGUCAAAGAAUAUUCAGUCUCAUAUGCAAAUUUGGAGCCCUGAGUGAAGUCUCAGAGUCAAACUUUGGUAGUCCUAUUACAAAGCCAAAUGUAGUAAUUUAAUGACUACUAAUGACAUUUGUAAAUUUUUAAGCCACUGUAAUAAGGGUAAUCAGAUCUCAGGCUUCAGGGUGUAACAUGAUCAUUUGUGCUUAUCAGCAAAAUAUUUCUGUACCCAUCAACAGUGCUCUACAACUGGGCAAGCACAUUAUCUGUAAAGCCAGAAGGGAGACAUGGGUAGCUCACCUUUCCCCAAAUCAUUAAAUGAAUUUUACAACUGGUAAACUCAAAAGAACCUAGCAAUUAAAAUCAAUUAAUCUUUAUUAAGUAAAGAAAGGUGAACUAUUGCUUGAAAAUCUAAGACGUAAAACACUAAAAAUAAAGUCUACAAUAUAAGUCAACACUUUCUUGGUUUUGAACAUCAGGACAUAAAACCAACAGUUGUUUACUAGUUCACUCAUAGACAUGUGGGGAGCCCAUUUAUUUCCUUGAAUUUUGUUAAAUGCUGAGGAAUAUACCAUACAACACAUACACAUAAUUAUUAUUAUCUGAGAAUUUGAAGUUUAGUAGCAAAAGCUAUCAAUCACAGUUAUAAUUACAAGUAAAGACAGAACUUUAAAAAUAAAAAGUUAAUUCUUAGUAUUAACUAACUUGUGAAGCAAAAAAAGCAUUUACUAGUGAAAAAAUCCAGUAAAUCACUCAAACACAAGAAAAAGUUACAGAUUUUUCAGUUCUAGAGAGGGAUAGUCUUGGUAAUGUGCUAAGGAUUAAAAACUAGCUCCCUAUUCAACUGAAUGGGUCUGAACAAAAUUGAGUAAAACAAAUCUAGUUUAUUGUUUCAUAAAGAGUCUCAAGCUAGGUUCAAUUAAGAUUUGAGGUAAUUCAAAGUUCAUGGACUUUUAUGGGCUUAACUUGUUAGAUUUGGUUGUGUUGAAAUUGAGGCAAGUUCUGCUCUAUUGAAAAAUCUUCCUCUUACACAUGUAAAAUGUAGCUGCUGAAAAAGAUGAGGAUACAGGGCUAAGGAAAAGAGAAAAGGUUUCAGGUACAGAAAAUACUACUUGCAAACAUUCAAUACUGAGAAAGACGGUUCAAGGAAACAAAAGAGAAGGUGAAUUGUGACUGAAGCCGCAGAGCCCCCAGGGAGUUGGCUGUGUCUAUAAAUUGAGGAGCCAGGCCAUGGCAAAACCAUAUGAGAAAGUACUGUGUAUGCCAUACUAAAAGAUUUGGCCUGCUCUUCUAAAGAGGAAGAACAAAUAAAGGGUAUUAAAACAAAGAGGCCAGCACAGUAUUUGCUUAAAAAAUCACACCAGAUAGAAUGUGAAUGAUGAGCUGAAGAAUUUGCUAUUUGACCUGCUUUUAUAACAUUAACUUCCCAGAUAGGAAGAAAUAAAAAGAUAGGAAGAAAUAAAGAUAGGAAGAUAGGAAGAUAGGAAGAAAUAAAAAAAAAAAACCACAGAAUUCAAUAUCCAGAUGAUUUAAACAUGACAGAGAAAGAAUAUCAAGGAAGAUAAUAAUUAAGGAAAUAAUUAAGAUAAUAAUUAAGUGCAGGGUCUGGAGUGCAAUCUCCAGCACCAAAAGAAAGUAAUAAUAAUAAUUAAGCCCCUCAAAUCUCAAAGUGCCUAAUAAUUCAUAAUUUUUAACCUUUGUGUAGAGGUUAUGGUUGACAAGUUCUGAAAUGGUCUCCUAUCAUCCUAACCUCCGCACAUUUCUGCUCCUGUGUAAUCUCUUCUCUUUAAGUGUUGGUGGGACCAACUGGUUUAAUUCUAUCAGAUAGAUGCAGCAUAAGGUCUCUCACAGGGAGAGGUUAAGACAAGAUCUUUUGUCUUGGUUGCUCUCUUUUGCUUACAGUACUCCAGGAGCACUUUCUGUAGGGACAAUUAACUGUCGCUGUAUGAAGCAAGCAGUCUAAUGGAGAAGGCAAGGUGCUGGGUAGGGCUGGGGGCUGUCAACAGCUUUAUGAGUGAGCUUGCAACUUCCAAGUUCUACUGCAUCUGGGUUCUAUCACUGCCCUUGAUCCUCCCUAAAAUCUUGAGAUAACUGAAACCUGAACCAAAACCUUUAUUAUAGUAAAAUCUAAUGAGAAAUCCUAAAUCAUAAAGAGCUCAGUCAAGCCACACCAGAUUUCUGAGCAUGUUAGUCAGGUUUCCAACACUAUGAUAAAACACUUAAGACAAUCAUCUUGUAAAGAGAAAAGUUUUAUUUUGACUCAUAUUUUUCAGAGUUUAAACCCAUGGUUUGUUGGUCACAUUUGGGUCUCUGGGGUGAUGGUUCAUCAUAGAGAAAAGCUCGUGGUAGAAGAAGCUGCUCAUUUCAUAGUAGCAUGGUAGCAUGGUCCUUCAUGGAAGGACCUAAAUCCCAGUAGCUCUUUUGAGGACUGGCCUCGAUGGCCUAAUUUCCUCUCCCGAGACACUACUUCCUAAAAGAAGUCCGCUAUUUUUAAUAGGACUAUGGGCUGGAGACCACGCCUUCAACACACACGGGAGAUAUUCAAAAUCUAAACUAUGUAACACUGACACAAAGAAAUGGUAAGCUAAGAAGUGUUUGUUCUUUUAAAAUACUGUGAUUUAAGUGAUUUUUAACACAGUGUUCAAUGAGAUAGCUUACUGGCUAAUAUUGACAAUGUAUCAUUGUGUCAUAUUCAAUGUUUUUAUUUUUAAUAUAAAGAUGUAUGUCAUCACUUCACCGUCGCCUUCACUACUUUACUGAUUUCCUCCUUCAUUAAAUCCUUUACUUAAACCUUAGUUUCACAUGAAUCAGUGUAUAAAUAGAAACAAUAAGUUUAAAUGAUUUUAUUUUAUAUAGGAUAGAGACUGAUGAGAAUUAAAUGGUAUGCAGAGUAAUAUUGUUAUUGUGGCUUUCUCCUGUUGCUUGGAAAAUACAAAAAAACAAAAGCUAAGGUGAAAGUACAAAAAGUAUAUUUGUAUUCUAACUUUCAUUAAUUUUCAGUGAGGAUUUUGGUUCCAUUGUUUAGAUAGCAAUAACCACCUUUGCAUUUUUUCAGUGAUUUUGUAAGAAUAGGAGAAAGGCCUUUUAUGUACCUUACUUAUGAUGUUUGCUACCAAAAAAUCAGGAGAGAUAUAUACCAAAUCUGAAAUUACUUCCGUGGAAGCCUUCCCCAUUAGAUAAAGUAGAUAUUCAGUGUUCCCUCUCUAACCUAACAUACUUCUCAAAGAUCCAGGAAGAUCCAUAAAACCAGCCCACCUUUAUGGUGCACCAACCACUCUGCCUCUCUAUUCUUUGGAACUCUAAGGAUUCCCACUCAACGGCUCUCUUAUUUUGGUUAUAUAUAGGCAUGCCCAGUGGCCACUGCUCUUUCCUGCUGCCAGAGCAGUCUCACUGGGUAACAUCAACACAGCUGCCAAGUUCUACUGCUUCUGGGUUCCACCAUUCCUGUCGUAUGCUAAGAACUGCCAGAAUUUCACCUUAUAGAAAAAUGCUAGCAUUUCAUUUUUUUGCUGAUGUAAUAUUUCAGUAAAAUAAUACCAAAGAACAGCAUUUUUCUCCAGUAUCAUGUAAAACUUGAAGAAAAUGAUGCUGUGUAUUCAUGGAUAGAACAUAAGGUCAUAAUCUGAAGCCAACAGACACAUACCCAUCAAACACUUUGCUGAAGUCACAAGUAACCUUCAGGAUAAGAAUAAGUCUUUAUGUGUGGACUAAACUGAAUCCCCACUGUCACUUUCCUCGUUAUAUAAAGCUGUCUGUGAGGAAGUUCACAAUCCUGCUCACAAUACAUUAAUGGGUGGUCAGGAUCAGGGUCACCCAAACUAUAUCAGAUGUAAUUCUUGGUCUCAAACAUUCCACACUACACUAAAGUAAAAUAAUCAUCUGGUCUGUUUUUGUUUGUCGUUUCUUCUUGCUAACCAUAACAGCCACAGCAACGAGAAUUAAUAAAUGUGUGACUAUCUCACAGUUAAAAGCACUGAGUUAAGAAAUUGGAAACUCUUUGUUUUAGUCCUUCUUUAAGACUAAUCAGGCUGACACUCUGACUCCUUUGCAACUCAAAACUCCUACAAAUGAGAAAAAUGAAAAACUAAGCCAAAAAUUCAUAAAUAUUUUCAAAAUGUUUAUAUAUUUUGAAAAUUUGUUAGUACACAUUUAUAGUACUUUAUAUUCAUUAUAGGCAGUUGAUAUAUGUACACAAUGCACCUUAAUUCUUCUUACUUCCCCUUCUCCUAUUUUUCUCCCCACUCUGAGAAUUUUGCUUUAUACUUGUUUUAUUGACAUUGGGAUUUUUAAAUUUUUUGUUAGUUUUUAAUCAUAUGUCUACAAUUGAAAGCUUGCAUUAAUAAUUAUUUUGCAUUAUACAAGUGAGGCAAGAAAAGCUAAAACUUCAAAGAAAAUGAAAAUUUAAAAAAGAAAAAAAUAUAUAUAUAUACACACACACACAUAUAUUAAGGAAGGACAAGUAAAGUAUGAAAGAAAUCAUAGUAAGACAAAAGGCACAGAAGCAAUCCCGGUGUUUCCACUGCUGUGUUCCAUCUCAUUUCCAUUCUUUGAGGAAAGGAAAUGCACAGCAGACUGUGCUUCCUUGUUUUCCUUCACGGUGGAAACUCCACAGGAGGCGGAAAUCUCACUGGUGACCAACUGAAAAAGAAAGAAGACUGGCUUAGAGUUCUGUUCUUCAGUAUUGGCUUUAAAGUUUAUUUCCAAUCUUUUCACUGCAAUCUUGUAUUUUCUGAAGAGUACCUCUGAUGUAAAUAAAAUAUGCCAAAUGGUUACACAUAAAGUCA